AUCCAGUUGACGAGUGUCAAACAGGACGAAACGCGCGUCCUGGAU
rnacentral:hammerhead_ribozyme from 1 species